CUCAGGUACUAUUUCAUUGCCAUGUGAGCUCCAUCCUCGCCCUGCCUGCAGUGUCCAGAGCACUAGACAACCAAGAUACCCCCUGGCCAAAGAAGAAAGCACCAUGGGACAGUCUUCAACAGCAGAACCAAUCCUCUCACUACUCUGGGCUUACUGAGAGACAGAAAUCACUGGGUGAUCCUGCUGUGCUCAACAGACUGACACUGAACAGGAAAUUGGUCUGUAGAUUAUAAAAAGCAAAAGGUAAGAACAACCACUCUUCUCCUACCUGCUGCCGGGGCCACCAGGAGCCGGGCUGCUGCCCUCAGAAGUGGUCAGACUCCAAGGUCUGUCUUCAGCUCCCGCCCCUGGAGCCAGCCCCGCCAGAAGGGACCUGUCAGUGGCUCUGAGGAAGCCCACUGUUGACCUGCAACCGCUUCCUUCUCAUUUCCACAGCUCCUUGAGUACCAGAGUGGGGUAAAGAGAGACUGUCUGAAGAUGAAGCCAUUGCAGAAGAAAGCAGAGCUUAGAGAUGGACAGAAUGGUAACUGAGGUGCAGAGGAACUCCACACAGACCCAGUCGGCCGAUGAAAGCACACAUGCAUCUAAUGCACAGAGCAAUUCUGCAUAGGAACCCUUGGUACAGAGCUGCUGCUCCAAACCUCAUCCUGCAGUGCUUAGUAGCCAGGUGCCCCUCCUCCUCCAUCCAGACCUCCAGAAAGAAAGUGACUGAGCUUGCAAACAUGGCUGGAACAUCAGCAAGGUGCCCCCCAAGAACCAGAUCUGGAAUUUUAAGGCAAUUCCUGAAUGCACUGACAUGUUCUUGGAAACCCCUCUACUUCCUAGAUGUCUUCUGUUGUUAAAAUGCUCUGGGCUCAGACUUCCACCCCUCAGAAAAGUUGACUGGCCCCAAAGAUUUUCUCCUGAGUUAGGAAAUAUAGCUAUAAGUAGAAAAUAUGAGCCAGGCAGAGUUGCACAUGUCUGUAAUUCCAGCUAUGUAGGAGACCACCACCGACCUAAGGAGGAUCUCAAGUUUGAGGCCAGCCUGGGCAACUUAGAGAGAUGCAGUCUCAAAAUAAAAUACCAUUUUUAAAAAGAGAUGGGGGUAUGGUUCUGUGGUAAAGCACCCUGGUUUCAAUCUUCAGUAUUACAAAAAGAGUAUUUUAUGUGUAUAUAUAAGUACAGAAACACACAUGUGUAUGUAUAUACUGUGC
rnacentral:lncRNA from 1 species